rnacentral:lncRNA from 10 species
AAAAAAAGUCCCAUAGGGAUGAGUUCUCAGCAAAAAGGACAAAACACAAGAGGAGACAUUCCACAGUGAGUGGGAGUCAGUAGACACACAGAUAGGUGACCUAGAACCCCUGUACCCUGAACUUGAAAUGAUUGCAUGACAGCCCAAAAGGGAGUAGAAAAAGAAGAAAAGCCCUGUAUUUAUUUUAUGAGACCAAAAUAACCUAAAUACCACAAUCAGAUGAAGACAGUAUAAGAAAGGAAAAUUAUAGGCCAGUCUUAUUUGCAUAGACACAAAAGUCCCAAUUAAAAUGUUAGCAAACUAAAUCCAGCAGUUGUAUGUUUAUGAAUAUGUAGGAACUUAGAUCCAACAAGGGCUUAUUUUAGGAUGCCAGGAUCAUUUAACAUUAGGAAAUCUGUUGAUGUAGAUUAAAGAAGAAAAACGUUUUCUCAAUAGAUGUGGAGAAGUCUGAGGCUAAUUCCCCCAAUAGAAUAUGCAUCCCUCAUGCAUGAAUAAAUAAGAGUGAUCACAGGCUGUCAUUGAUUAAGACUACUAGACAUUUUAAAGGAAGCGGAAGAAAGACAGUCUCAGGAAUAGGUCGAACUGAAGAGACAAUAUACCUGCAGCAAACAGCUACAGGACUGUUUAAAGCCAAGCAAGUGCAGAAUUCAGUUUUUCUUCUUUCGGGGACGUGGCCUGCAUGGCUAUCUGCUCCUGCCAGUGUCCAGCAGCCAUGGCCUUCUGCUUCCU